UACGGAGGGGGCUAGCGUUGUUCGGAAUUACUGGGCGUAAAGCGCGCGUAGGCGGAUCUGCAAGUCGGGGGUGAAAUCCCGAGGCUCAACCUCGGAACUGCCUUCGAUACUGCGGGUCUCGAGUCCGGGAGAGGUGAGUGGAAUUCCUAGUGUAGAGGUGAAAUUCGUAGAUAUUAGGAAGAACACCAGUGGCGAAGGCGGCUCACGUGGCCCGGUACUGACGCUGAGG
rnacentral:rRNA from 1 species